rnacentral:rRNA from 1 species
GUCUUGGCUGGGCGGUCUUUGCGAAUGCAUAGCACUUCUCUGGCUGAGACUUUCCUUCUGGCGAACUAUUGUGCUAUUUAUUUAGUGCGAUAGGGAACCAGGACUUUUACUUUGAAAAAAUUAGAGUGUUUAAAGCAGGCGUCUGCCCGAAUACAUUAGCAUGGAAUAAUAGAAUAGGACUUUGGUUUUAUUUUGUUGGUUUUCGAAACCGAAGUA